GAACACGUGUGUAACAAAGUAUUUCAUUUUUGUGUGAGGUCAUCUCCUCCUAUGGUUUCAUUGGCAUCAUUUUUUCAACACUGUGAGACGUCUUUCAGGGACAGUGUCAGCAAAAGGAGGAGCUUUAUUGUGUACUGAAGCUGCCUGGGCUUAUUGAAUGAUUUUGAAAGUGCGGGGUAAGAGUUUCUGAUGAAUUCAGUGAUCUUUUCUUGCUGAGAUCUCAGCCUUUUUUGACAG